ACUGUGAACUCCCUGGGUGAGAAGUUACAGGUGAAGUAAUACAAAUAAUAACGAUGAUCCCAAGAAUUUAUAUUAGCAGUGCUAUGGACUAGCCCAGUGUUCUGCGCUUGAUAAAGACAAGCAAGUCCAACACAUUCAGCUCUUGGCUGCCCCAGAGCACUUUUGUUGGCUGUUGUGCUGCCCACCUCGCAUUGGGUCCAUCCUGAUUCCAUCUGGGCCAGUUCUGGCAUAGAAAAGCAGUUCUGUCCCAAACAGGGCUGCAGGGCAAAUUGUUCAUCAGUACAACUGCACUGAUGCCAGUGCAAAAUCACGUCAGAGACUCUAUCCCCGUGUACUUUUAAAUCAUCAAGCUAAUAAGUACCCUGGAUGAUAAGAUGUAAUCUUUUAAAUGCAGUAUGGAUUUCUUCCUCUGAAUUAUGCAUGAUAACAUCUUUAGGCAUGAGCUUUGUUUGUUUUUUGUUUGUUUGUUUGUUUAUUUAUUUCUGAAGGAGCUAUCUUUUGGUGGUGGUGGAGAUAAUCACUGUGGUUUACAAUUAGGGAGGGAGGCCCAGGGAGGGCUCCCUGUGGCUAGACAAUCUCUGCUAACGGCCUGGAAGUUGUGGUGUCUCCAUCCUUGUAGAGAUUCAAAACCCAACACGACACAGUCCUAGGCAAUCUGCUCCAGAAGACCUGCCUUGAGCAGAGGGGUUGGACAGGAUGCUCUCAAGAUCUUUUCCAUGCUGGGAUUCUGUUUCCUGUUUCUUAUAUCAAUUCCUGACUAUUAUACCAUUCCUCUGCAGCAGGUAGGGUAAUAAUAGUAAUAUCCAGGUCUCCUGCAGCACUUUUCACUCCUUGAUCUGCAAUGUCUCUGCAGAGGCUGGUGGUUCUUCAUCCCUUCUUAACACCUAGGGAAACUGGGACAGUCAGAAAGCAAAUGAUUGCUUAAAGACAUUAAGGAAGACGGUGUUAGAGGGACCGAAUCUCCAGAGUGUCACCUCCCACUCCCGCACCAGCACAGCAACCACAACACCUGUGCAGCCGUAUAUUUGAGAGACGCCUGCUGUGCCCAGCAUCCGGCCGCAGCAGAGGCCAGAGAGGCGGGAGGCAGCACGCUGUCCACGGCGGCAGCCCCUGGACUGUAAAUCACAGCAAAUGAGAGCUGCUCCUGCGCUUUGCCAGGCAGACAAUGGAGCAGGCAGCUCCGCUCCGGUGAGCUCAGCUGAACCACGAACAGGCAAGCUGGUGCUUUAAUGAAGGGACUACUGUACUAGAGCAGUCAUUUGAUCUUCAAGGGUUUGACCACGCAAGAAGCAAAGCAAACUGGCACAAUUCCUCUUCAGCACUUAACCAAGAAUGUCUCGUUAUCCUCCCACUGCCGUGAGGGUUCACUGCCCCUCCUGAACCAGCCACAGUGCACUGGGACAAAAAUAGCAUUGCCAUCCCCACAGCUUGAAGUCAAAACCAACAAGUGAUACAACAACCAGAAGAGAAAAGCUAACUGGGAGGUGAUGGUGUCAACAAGCAGCAGCCACUGCAUGUGUUUCAAAUGCUUUUUAAAAACUCUGGUGGAGAGGUGACUGCCCUAAAAAAUGGCAGUAAAAGAGCAUACAUGCUUGCAGGCAAAGGCAGCACAACAGCACAGCAAUGAUAAGUGACGUUUCAUUACCCCAGAGCUGUAAGGAGAACCCCUGCCCUCACUGCCUGGCCGUCCUGCUCUGAUGUGUGUUGAAGUUGGUGGUGGUGGUAACAGAUUUUGGAAUUCAUCUUCAACCCCGAGGUCUUCAGACAACUUGAGGCUGUUAAGCAAAUGCUGUGCAAAGCUGUGCCAGAUCUCACCUGGUGUAACUCACUUAGCUCCAGAGGCAAAUUGUGGACUGUGUGCCUGGGCAAAUUAUUGCUUGGCUUUUCCUAUGACAGGGUGCUGUAUGUAUGUACCAUUAGACAGUGAAAAAGACCUCAGGUUGGAGUCACUUUCUUCUAACACUAAAUGCACCCUUUCACUAGGAUAAGCAAAAUAGUGCUGUCCUUAGAGGGGAGCUGGGGGUGGUGGUGGUGGGCAGAGAGAGAGAGAAAAGCUUCAAUUUCCAAAAAAAUUCUUAUUACCAUAAGAACUUAAUUGCUUAGACUCAGAUAUAUCUCCUGGUAUUCUGCAUUUUAUUUUUGCUCCCACACUUGCUGGGUCUGGAAUUCUCUUCUGAGCUGCUAACUCGGUUUUUGCUUUUUAAAGCUCAUUUAAAACCUUUCCUACUUCCUCUGUCUGUGAUUAACGCUAAUCCAGUCACCCCUUUCUUUUCCUAUGGCUUCUUACAUUCACCCCUUGCUGCAGACUGCAAGAAUUCUAAUUGGCAUCUGCUCUUCUUUUUGGGUUUCCAUUUUUUCCUUUCUUCCUGCUCCAUUUUCUCUCUGUUGCUAUAUGGGCUGCUCUAUGCCAUCCUGUUAUGCUUUCUAGCCCAGAUCUGCCUAGUGCUCUAAAGGAUUUGAUGAUUUUCUUUAGGACUGACUCUAAUAAUAGCCACAAUCCUGCCUCUUUACAAAUCUUCCUCACAAAGAAGAAAAAAAAUAAAAUAAAAAUAAAGUUCUGCCCUCCAGAGUGAAUUCCACUG